CACGUAGGGCGCGAGCGUUGUCCGGAAUUAUUGGGCGUAAAGAGCUCGUAGGCGGCCUGUUGCGUCCGCUGUGAAAGCCCGGGGCUUAACCCCGGGUCUGCAGUGGAUACGGGCAGGCUAGAGGUAGGUAGGGGAGAAUGGAAUUCCCGGUGUAGCGGUGAAAUGCUUAGAUAUGACAUAGAACACCAAUUGCGAAGGCAGCUUGCUACACGGAUAUUGACUCUGAGGCACGAAAGCGUGGGGAUCAAACAGG
rnacentral:rRNA from 1 species